UAGACCAGUGGAAAUCUGUGCUUUGGUCUGAUAAGUCCGAAUUUGAGAUCCUUGGUUCCACCUGCCGUGUCUUUGUGCGAUGCAGAAAAGGUGAACGGAUGGUCUCUACAUACAUGGUUUCCACUGUGAAGCCAUGGAGGAGGUGUGAUCAACGUGUGUCAAGUGCUUUGCUGAUGACACUGUUGGGAAUUUAUUCAAAGUUUAAUCACACUGAACAGUAACAUGCGGGGCGAGGGGCUUGAGCACCUGCCCCUUUCCUGAUGGGUGCCCCAAAUGCCCUUUUCCUGAGGCAAAUUUUUAUUUAUUUUUUUUAUUUUUAUUAUUUUUUUUAAUGUGUGCGUGCCCGUGGAGUCCUGCCUGUGCCCCUCAACAAUAACAUUUAACUAUUAAUCACAGUUUUGCGAAAUAAAAGGAUCUGGCUUGCAUCAGUCACAUGACUACCAUUAACCAAUGAUCGCCCUUGACGGAAGAGCGCGCUGGUUAUGAACUGGGAACGAGCACGCGCAUUUUUUGCCGUCUGAGCCGUCGGAGAAACACAGGUUAAUUGGGAGAGGCAGACUGAUGCAAGAAAACCCAUCUACAGUCCCAGAUCAACAGAGCCCUUCCCUCCGGCACUAUCAGCAGCAGCAACCCCUCAACAGUGCCAUUGUACCGCAUCAGGUCCACAGCGGGGACAGGUCUCUCCAGCACCAGGAUCAGUUCUUUGCCAAGGUCGAACCACUCCAGCAAGGACACAGGUGCUGAUGUUCCCACUGACCCUUCUGCUUCACCUGCAAGUUUCAGCAUAAUGGCCAC